CGCGGCGGGGGCGGCCCGGUAAGUCUCGCGAGAUCUCAGUGGCCGAAGGGAAAAGACGCGGCCUGUUUGGAACCUUAAGACUGACAGAAAAUCAUCAAACCGCAGGGGCCAAAGCGCCCUACGUCGCGCGCAGGUCCGAGACAGGUUGGAGGAAAACAAAACUCUCGCGAGAUGCCAGAGGUGGAACUUGGCCGGCAGCGCCGGGACGGCAUUGGUCCCGGCGUCACGCGGAGGGCGGCACGGGGGAAAAUGUCAGGCUUGUGGCGUUCCGAACCCGGGCUGAUCCGAAGGGUGCGUUGUCAGGGAGAGCCGUGCUGGGCGUGUCGGCGAUGAGGACCUCGCAGGAUCCGCAGGGAAGUGCAAUAGCGUGGUCUGUUCUCAUCUGGAAGAGAUGAGCUCGGAAGAUGCCGUACGGAUCCGAUGACAUCAUAAAUGUAACCCGAUUGAUGGGACUGCUCUCCCGAAGGAAGUAAGUGUUCCUUAUCCUUCCUAGAAGGGCCACGCAAACUUCACCUCCACCCCCAAAGGGUUCAGAAGAUGUCCUAAAAAAGUCACGCCAGCGGUUCUCACUCAUCACUCACUGUUGGGUGUCUGUGGAACGGACUCUGGCAGUGCGGGAGCCUUGUCCCUGUAAUCCUGUGUCGUCAUCUGAAGAGUAAAACUAAGGACACACUUGCUCAUAAAUGCAGAGGACAGCUGCGAGUCAACAACAACAACAACAAAAAAAAAAAACUCGGACUGGUAGCUAUUCUUGGUUGUCAACUUGACUAUAUCCGGAAUGAGCUACAACCCAGAAAUGGAGUGCACACCCGUGAGAGAUUUUCUGCUUGGUUUGAAGUAGAUGAAUCCACUUGGUUUGAGGUAGGAAGACACACUUUGAUCUGAAUCUUGAGGUGGGAAAACAUACCUUUAAUAUGAGCCACACCUUCUGUUGGAAGCUUUUAUAAGGAUAUAGAAGAAGGAAGAUUUUGCUUUUUGCCUGCUUGCCCUCACCUUGCUAGCACAUCCAUUUUUUUCAGUGGCAUUGGAGCCUACUUCUGGAUUCCAGCAUCUACUGAAGAUGAUCUGAGACAUCCAGCCUGUGGGACUGAGAAACUACUCAAUUCUUAGAUUUUCUGUUCACAACUAUCCAUUGUUGGAUUAGCUAGACUGCAUCAUGUUGACAAGAGGUGGACUUGUGAUGACUAUUCUUGGUUGUCGACUUGACUGUAUCUAGAAUGAACUACAAUCUGUCAAGAGAUUUUUUCACUUGGAUUGAAGUUAAGUGAAUCUGUUUCUAGUCUGGACCUUUGAGGUAAGAAGACACACACCUUUGAUCCAGAUCUUGAGGCGGGAAGACACAGACCUUUCAUUUGGACCAUGAGGGGGAGACAGAAGCCUUUAAUCUAAAUCUUGAGAUAGGAAGACUCAAUACCCUAAUAUGGGCUACACCUUCACGGGCAUUGGAGCCCACUUCUUCUGGAUUCCAGCAUCUACUGAAGACCAUACUGAGACAUCCAACCUUGUGGGACUGAACAACAGCUAGAUUCUUGGAUUUUCUGUUCACAGCCAGCCAUUGUUGGAUUAGCUAGACUGCAGCCUGUAAGUCAUUCCAGUAAAUUCCCUUUUAAGAAGGACCACCUAGAAUAAAGUCACACAAGCUCAGGCUGUUCCCCACAGUACACCAUGCCUUGACCAGUUCUUCACCAGUGACCACCAACAUCAACAUUUUUUUUUUUUUUUUUUUUUACCUAUAACAAAACAAAAAGGAAGAACUGUGCCAAUGCAUUACAUUACGAUAAAAAUAUCUCUUGCAUCCUAAGAGACUGGAAUGUUUGCUGGACCUGACAGCCAUCGUUAGUAAUACACUUCAAGGUCACUUAAGACUGCUGCCCUACUCUAUACUCUGCCUGUUUAUUUAAUCUGCCUUUAAGAGAACAAUGUAAAAACCAGCUUUACUUCCAAUGGACUUCCCAUUAAAUCAUCUUUUGGCUUU